CUUUCGCGCCUCCGCCCCUGGGUUGGCGGACAGGGGAAGGAGCGAAGAUGGCGGAGUGAGGCGUGCCCCGGGCAGCUGGCCUGCGGGCCCGGGGCAGGCCUCCCGUGAGAAGCGGAGUACUUGUGCUGGACCGUGUGAGGAACCAUAUCACACAAGAUGAAUAUUUUCCUGACCUUAGGUGCUUUUAUAUUCAGCUCAACAUUCUGAACUCAGGACUUGGCACGUAAGUAGAUAGAGAUAAUCAUCCCAAGUCCUGUUGUAGCGGCUUGAAAGGCUCCAUAGAAGCGACAUACUAAACUGUUAAGAGCAACAGAAGAUGAAGAUAAAAAUGAGUACAAGCCAGCUACCAUGGCUCACCUUUAUGCCCAGCUCUUGGGACCUGGGGAACUGAGGAAUUCCUAUGUGGACUGCUCAGUGAGGCGUCCUGGUUCUUCCAUCCUGUUACUUUCCCCAGUGAGAUGCAGAUGUCUUUCGACAGAUUACCUCCAUGGUUUAGGAUGCAGAGACUGCCUUUCUUUUACGUCAGACUCAACACAGGAAAGCCGUGAGGAUGCAGCCGUCCUGUUGACUUCAGCAAGAAAACAAACCAUGGACUUGGGUCUUCUGCAGCUUUUGAAUUGGAAAGACGGUGUUUGCAAGUAGAAGGAAGAUGCUGAAUUUGAAACAAGUGCUUAGGUUCUGUGGCGUGAGUUGUUUUCUUUUUAAAAGAUCCAAACAAGAAGACUGAACAAAUACCAAGUGUGGGUGACUUCAGGUUUUUUUUUUAAUGUCUUCCAAUUUUAACACUAUUAUAAGCACAGUUGACCGCAGUAAGUUCCAAAUAUUUAAUAUAAUUUGAAGUGAAAGAAAUGUUAUCUAAAUUCUGGCUCACUCUUUGACAGUUUUCCUGGACAAAAACAAGAUACGAUAAAAGCAGAAACCAGGUUUGAUUUUGUAUGGGAGUGAAAUCAUUACAGUUUUAUGGGUAUAAAUCUACAUUUUUAAACAAGAUUUUUCUCUUGGAGAAGAAACCUGUUGUUUAUAAGAAGGCUUUGGACAGUUUAAUAGUCUUAAAUGUUCUGCUUUGCUGUUCUAGUCCUUCUCAGGAAGGCCCAGCUGGGCCUGUGGCUAGUUCAGAAUGGGAGGAAACAUAGGCUGGGACAAUGCUCACCCUGAACUGCCAGCGUGUGGGAGGCCAAGGCAGGAAGAGCAGAUGUUCAGGGCCAGCUUGGACAUCAAGAGGCUCAAAACCAGUAGGAAAAAAAACAGAGCCCAGUAACACCCUCUUUUAUAUUCCUUUUGUGGAAUCAUGUAGCAUGUGAGACUGGGUUGGAAGGGAACUGGCAUAUGUGGUAUUUCAGUUAAGGUGAUGUGGUGGACCCUGAUGUGUAACUGGCCUUCACCUUUGGACAUACAGGAAUGAAGGAAAAACUAAAGCUUGGCAUAUAAAUCUUUUCUUCUAAGAAAAAGAAGCAAAGCUGUCUAAUGUAGCAUUGUCUGACUUUUCAACAUUUUUACUUUAUGUGGUUGCAUUUUUUUAUAAAAGUAUAAAUAAGUUCCUUCAACCCAAAA